UGCCACUCUUAACGGGGUGGCUUUUCAGAAGUGUAAAAAGCUUCUGGAAUAAGGGCUGGGCAAGACCGGUGCCAGCUGCCGCGGUAACACCGGCAGCUCAAGUGGUAGCCGCUUUUAUUGGGCCUAAAGCGUCCGUAGCCGGUCUGAUAAGUCUCUGGUGAAAUCCCACAGCUUAACUGUGGGAAUUGCUGGAGAUACUAUCAUGACUCGAGGUCGGGAGAGGCUGGAGGUACUCCCAGGGUAGGGGUGAAAUCCUGUAAUCCUGGGAGGACCACUUGUGGCGAAGGCGUCCAGCUGGAACGAACCUGACGGUGAGGGACGAAAGCCAGGGGCGCGAACCGGAUUAGAUACCCGGGUAGUCCUGGCCGUAAACGAUGUGGACUUGGUGUUGAGAUGGCUUCGAGCUGCCCCAGUGCCGAAAGGGAAGCUGUUAAGUCCACCGCCUGGGAAGUACGGCCGCA
rnacentral:rRNA from 1 species